AACGAACGCUGGCGGCAUGCCUAACACAUGCAAGUCGAACGAGACCUUCGGGUCUGUGGCGCACGGGUGCGUAACGCGUGGGAACCUGCCCUUAGGUUCGGAAUAACUCCCCGAAAGGGGUGCUAAUACCGGAUAAUGUCUUCGGACCAAAGAUUUAUCGCCUUUGGAUGGGCCCGCUUUGGAUUAGCUAGUUGGUAGGGUAAAAGCCUACCAAGGCGACGAUCCAUAGCUGGUCUGAGAGGAUGAUCAGCCACACUGGGACUGAGACACGGCCCAGACUCCUACGGGAGGCAGCAGUGGGGAAUAUUGGACAAGGGGCGAAAGCCUGAUCCAGCAAUGCCGGGUGGGUGAUGAAGGCCUUAGGGUUGUAAAACUCUUUUCCCCGGGAUGAUAAUGACAGUCCCGGGAGAAUAAGCCCCGGCUAACCCCGU
rnacentral:rRNA from 1 species